rnacentral:rRNA from 1 species
GACGAACGCUGGCGGCGUGCCUAAUACAUGCAAGUCGAACGCAGUGGGGACGGGUGAGUAACACGUGGGUAACCUCCCAUCAGAGGGGAUAACACUUGGCAACAGGUGCUAAACCGAUACUGAUGGAUGGAGCCGGGGGGCAGUAGCUAGUUGGUGGGGUAACGGCGCACCAAGUCUACGAUGCAUAGCCGACCUGAGAGGGGGACCGGCCACACUGGGACUGAGACACGGCCCAGACUCCUACGGGAGGCAGCAGUAGGGAAUCUUCGGCAAUGGACGCAAGUCUGACCGAGCAACGCCGCGUGAGUGAAGAAGGUUUUCGGAUCGUAAAAUACUGUUGUCAGAGAAGCGGUAUCUAACCAGAAAGCCACGGCUAACUACGUGCCAGCAGCCGCGGUAAUAC